rnacentral:rRNA from 1 species
GUGUCAGCCGCCGCGGUAAUACGUAGGUGGCAAGCGUUGUCCGGAAUCAUUGGGCGUAAAGGGCGCGUAGGCGGUUAUUUAAGUCAGUUGUGAAAACUUUGGGCUUAACCCAGAGAUUGCAGUUGAUACUGGGUAACUUGAGUGCAGGAGAGGACAGUGGAAUUCCUAGUGUAGCGGUGAAAUGCGUAGAUAUUAGGAGGAACACCAGUGGCGAAGGCGGCUGUCUGGACUGUAACUGACGCUGAGGCGCGAAAGCGUGGGGAGCAAACAGGAUUAGAUACCCUGGUAGUCCACGCCGUAAACGAUGGGUACUAGGUGUAGAGGGUCUCGACCCCUUCUGUGCCGGAGUUAACACAAUAAGUACCCCGCCUGGGGAGUACGGCCGCAAGGUUGAA